GACGAACGCUGGCGGCGUGCUUAACACAUGCAAGUCGAACGGAAAGGCCCUGCUUUUGUGGGGUGCUCGAGUGGCGAACGGGUGAGUAACACGUGAGUAACCUGCCCUUGACUUUGGGAUAACUUCAGGAAACUGGGGCUAAUACCGGAUAGGAGCUCCUGCUGCAUGGUGGGGGUUGGAAAGUUUCGGCGGUUGGGGAUGGACUCGCGGCUUAUCAGCUUGUUGGUGGGGUAGUGGCUUACCAAGGCUUUGACGGGUAGCCGGCCUGAGAGGGUGACCGGCCACAUUGGGACUGAGGUACGGCCCAGAAUCCUACGGGAGGCAGCAGUGGGGAAUAUUGCACAAUGGGCGGAAGCCUGAUGCAGCAACGCCGCGUGCGGGAUGACGGCCUUCGGGUUGUAAACCGCUUUCGCCUGUGACGAAGAGUGAGUGACGGUAAUGGGUAAAGAAGCACCGGCUAACUACGUG
rnacentral:rRNA from 1 species